AGUCCGUCGACGGCUCCCGUUCCUGGUCGGUGGUGUGGGGUCCUCCUCCAGUGUCAGGUAGGCUGGAGCGGGUCCCCAGGAGCGGCUGCUACAGCGCUCAGGAUAUCUUGUUCUCUCUGGCAGUAUGGCAUUCUUCAGUUUGUCAGGUGAAGCAGGAGUGCUGUCUGUUGGUUUGUAGUUUCAACAGGUGGUCGUUCAGAAGUGUGGCAUUUCUGUGCGGGUUAAGAAGCCCACUCUGAAGUUUGCAGCUCUUCAAGUAUGUGGGAAGAAACAGAAAGGUUCGUGUCCUUGAGAGGCUUGAAUGCUUACUUUGAGUUGAAGGUGGUCAUCCAAAGAGGUUUGGAGUGGAGUUCCUUCCUGUGCUGGCUGAGAUCUGUGCUUUCCUGGAUUUUAGUUGUGUGUUCUAUAUGAGCAGUAUUGGGCUUUUUUUUUUUUUUUAAUUUUUGUGGAUUCUUUGUUGUAUAGCAUGUUUUCCUAUGUUUACUGUGGUUAUGAGAUUUUGUAAUUUUGCUGUAUGUACAUAAUAUGUAAUGGAGCAUGUAAAGGAUUUUUUUGGAUAUAUACUGACUAUGUCUUGUUUUUAUGGUAUUUUCCUGGUAGUAAAAAUACAAAACUGUUAAAUAGGCUUGAAUGCGAUAUUUUGGAGUUGCAUUUUUACACAGAAACAUGUGUUAGAAAGGUAUUUGUUGACCUGAAUUUAUUGGGUUUCCUACAAUUGUAAGCUGUGCUUUGCAUUGUAUUUUCAAUCUCUGUCCUGCGUCUGUACAGCAUUUGUUGAUGUGGAAUGAAUAUUUGCAUGUUGUGUACUUGAAAAGCAUGUUU
rnacentral:lncRNA from 7 species